rnacentral:rRNA from 1 species
UACGUAGGGGGCAAGCGUUAUCCGGAUUUACUGGGUGUAAAGGGAGCGCAGACGGAACUGCAAGUCUGAUGUGAAAGCCCGGGGCUCAACCGCGGGACUGCAUCGGAUACUGUGGAUCUGGAGUGCCGGAGGGGCAAGCGGAAUUCCUGGUGUAGCGGUGAAAUGCGUAGAUAUCAGGAGGAACACCGGCGGCGAAGGCGGCUUGCUGGACUGCAACUGACGUUGAGGCUCGAAAGCGUGGGGAGCAAACAGGAUUAGAUA